rnacentral:rRNA from 1 species
CGCGUAGGCGGUCUGUUGCGUUGGGUGUGAAAGCCCCGGGCUCAACCUGGGAUGUGCGCCCGAUACGGACAGGCUUGAGACCGGGAGAGGAGAGUGGAAUUCCCAGUGUAGAGGUGAAAUUCGUAGAUAUUGGGAAGAACACCGGUGGCGAAGGCGGCUCUCUGGCCCGGUUCUGACGCUGAGGCGCGAAAGCGUGGGGAGCAAACAGGAUUAGAUACCCUGGUAGUCCACGCUGUAAACGAUGCGUGCUAGACGUUGGGGGGCGUAGCCCCUCGGUGUCGCAGCUAACGCGUUAAGCACGCCGCCUGGGGAGUACGGCCGCAAGGUUAAA